GAUGACUAAGGAGAGAAGGGAGGAGAGAAAAUAACAGGAGGAGAGAGGAUAGAAGAGCACACAGAUCAUCCUUUGCAGAAAGGAGCAGGGAAACAACAUACAAGGCUCGUCUCUGUUCGACAACCUGAACUAAAACAGUCACUGACCUGAGGACCUCACACCGAGGACAACACUUGCAUGACCGAAGACUGACCAGGACCACGUUUUUGGAUUUUUGGAUUGAAAACACUAGUUGGAGCCAGAGUAAACCGUACUGCAGAUGAACCAUAUCCUGGAUUAAGGGGAGAGGGGGACAAAUAUCAAACACUUGUUCCAUCACUACUGGCACUAGAGAAAGACUUUACAGAACAGACUAAUAUCUGAUGUAAAUAUUGACAUUGUGUUGGACGCCUGUCCUCAUCUGAAUUGCACUAAGAGAAGGGAAGGUUAUGGGAGCUCAUCCAUAACCCUUUGACUCCUCAACUGGCGGUGACCUCAGAGCUGCCCUGGGGGCUGGGUUCGAUGUGAGGCAGCUGUCUGCUGCGGUCGACGUACAACCCACGUCUGACUUCUCUUUUUUUUACUCCCUCUGUUUUCUUCUCUUGUCGUAGCUACACCUCUUUCUCUCUCGGCCUGGGGCUUCAAAUAGUCCUCCUGUAAAUUAAUUCUGGGGGAAGACACACACACUCGCUCACUCACUGGAGGUCUGAGUCAGACUGCGCCACUGAGAGAGAGUUGUGUGUGUCAGUGAGUCUGUCAUGUCUGUUUCACUUACUUACCUGUCACAUCUGUCCACCCGUCUGUCUGCCCGUGUGAAUAAGUGUGAGUGAUAUCACAUGCGUAACGGUUCGCGGUGUCUGUCUGUGGGAAUCAGUGACUUCAUGUGACAAAACGUGUGUGUGUGUCUAUCAGCAUUCCACGAUACGAGCCAAUUCCACUCUGUGUGUAUCGCUCUCCAUAAACCCACAAUGGGCUGUGCCAUGUGCUCACAGUUGAUUGAUGUGUGGAGUCUGUCGGUGAGGAGAACCAGCCGAAGGGCCAUGGAACUGACCGCCCUCCCCGAGGCUCUCCAGGGGGGCUACCACAGAGUCACUGGCCUCCACUACAUGUCCUCCUUCUCCGAUGCAGAGGACUGCUGCGAUGACAACAACAGUCACAACAGCACCACCGGCAGCACCUUCACCAUGGACUGGCAGGAGACAGAUGACUGACACUGGGGUGACAGGUAGCCGAAGCAGUGUUUCCCAACUCCAGUCCUCGGAAGGGAUUUGGAAAGACUAUCUUGGAACUCUCAAAACAUCCCACAAUGAUGUGGCCUUACCAUCAUGGCUCACACUGUGUCAUAAACAAGACAGUGACCUGACAAGGAAAAGAUACUAGAACCUGGAGUUCUGAAUGACUUUUGUCCCUACUCAAGUGAAUUACUCUGGGCCCUGAUCAUAAUGUAUCAGUCUACCUUAAAUCUAACAUUGAAAAAGACUGUCAGUGUCUUGGCUCAAAGAUGUAGUACAAACUUAUCAUAGAUUUCUUACUAAAAUAGCUUGAUGAUACAGUUUCUCGUGUGUCAGUCAGUCAAUACACUGCUUAUGAUUCCCUUGACGUUGGU